GCCUCUGUGGUCUAGUGGUAUCACACGUCCCCGGUAUGGAUGAAAUGCGGGCUCAACUCCCGUCUGAGGUC